CAACCUGAGGCUGGGUUUGUCAUAAACCAAGUCAAGACAAUUGAGACCUGUUGGCAUCUUCAAGCUAGCCAGUCAUGGGGACUGUAUCUUCUUUAUCCAUGUGGCACACAAGGACUGGGGAGAUGCUGGGGAGUGACUCCUGUUCAGCUUCAGACAUUGCUUCAGGAAGGGGACAAAUUUGGCCCAGGAAUGACUGCUAGCCUUGUUGACAUUAGGGAGACUUGGCAGUGUGCUGAAAACCAACCUGAAGUAAAAGUGCCUGGUUGCUAUUUGAAAUUCAAGGUGAUUACUAGAGUCAAUACCCAUGAAAAGGGGAAAGGAUAUACUCCAAGUAGAUAUCACAGAGGAUCUAAUCACUUUGGGACAGAAGGCAUGA
rnacentral:lncRNA from 1 species